rnacentral:ncRNA from 16 species
AAUAAUCUUCAGGGCAGGGUGAAAUUCCCGAUCGGCGGUAAAGUCCGCGAGCCGAACGAAAAAGGUUUGGCAGGAACCGGUGAGAUUCCGGUACCGACAGUAUAGUCUGGAUGGAAGAAGAUGAAA